AGGCCAGUUAAGUGAAUGCUUUGCCACAGUCUUAGAAUUGGAAUAAGCUGGGCUAAGGUUCACUUAGGCUGGAGG
rnacentral:pre_miRNA from 1 species